rnacentral:tmRNA from 1 species
GGGGACGAGCGGGUUCGACAGGGUAGGUCGGGCCCGGACAGCAGGCCGAGGUGGCCGUCGCCUCGUAAAACAGGCGGCAAAAAAGUAGCUGGCGAGCGCGAGCUUGCCCUUGCCGCCUAAGGGAUAGGCGGCACGUCGCUCCUGCUUGCCUCCUGGGGGCAGGAAGCGGCGCCAGAGACCAGGGGUGCAGCCCCCCGAGGGCCGUCUAAGGGGGCCUAAGAAAGAGACGGCUGGCCUGGCGGCACGUUGCCGGUGACGGUACGCCAGGCGAGAAAGAAGCAUCGGCUAAGCCUGUAGGCGGUCCGGGGUGGCCUUCACCUGGACGAGGGGUUCGACUCCCCUCCGUCUCCACCA